rnacentral:lncRNA from 1 species
CUCUGAUUUUAAAUACUAAGCUUUUAGUAGAGUUUGAUUGAAAACCUGAAAUCUGCUCCUUCAGUUUGCUCCAGUCAGAUAGGACUUGAUGGAUGUAGAGUAGGGGAAACUAUAGUAAGUCUUUAUUCUUGCAUAAGUUGAAAGUUGCAAGGCUGUUUGUGACUGUCAUGGGCUGCUUGCAUCAAAUGAAAGAGUAUGUAAUGAACAUGCACUUCAGUUGAAGACAAUUUUGCCUAAAAUUAGGUAUGGUUGAACUGAUUAAAAGAAACCCUAAAGCAGCUCCUCCCCUCUGACUUUCACCCCUAAUGAGAAAAAAUUUGAAUCAAACUUAAAUCUGAGGUUACAGAAGUUUCUGAAAAGUUGUAGUGAGUCUCUUUAGCACAAAAUUGCCUUUUUCAGAUUACCCUUCCCCCCACAUUGAAGAGGGAAUACAGAUACCUUGCGAAUUGUUCUUUACCGUAGAGGUAUAUGGAACAUCUAAGAGCUAUCGCUGGAGACAGCUGUCUUGUACAGGAAAGAUCCACUCAGGACAGCCAAACAAUUUACCCAGUGACUCAUGAAGAUUGAGAUAUGGAUAAAAGCUAACUGCCUAUCUGUCCAGAAGUGGCUGAGAAGCUGUAAAAGACUGAAAUAGCCAGGAUUUGGAGAUGGGACUUCAGACUGUUCUUAAUAAAAGACUCGCCAGGAAUGUGCA